rnacentral:lncRNA from 1 species
GGUGGAGAAGGGACUGUCCGAAACACAUGAGCGGAGACAUGGCAGCAAAAAGAGCAAGAAAACAAUGACAUGGGGAGAAAAUGACCAGGAGAGGAAGGAGGAGAACCAUGAGAGUGUGCUGCAGGAGGAAGUGACCUCAGGAACCAACAUGUGCCCCAACACGUCAAACUGGCAAAGAUCAAGGAGGAUGUGGUAGGAGGAGCAAGAGUCACAAAGCAUGUGGCCGAGAGGGACACUGUAGGAUGGUGGAGACUGGGGGUGAUUUUUCAGGUAGAGAGAAAGGAGCCAGCAGAGAAGGCGGGAUUCAAGUUUCAAGUGAGUAGGAGACCAGCUGAUGAGGAAAAAAUAAUCCACAUCAUGGAGCCAGAACACAUAAAAUCUUUCAUGGCUCUUGAAAACAUCUUCAAAAAGGGUGCACCAAUUUCUACCCUCACCCAUAAUAGGGUGGUUCGCUGACCCUCGUCAACAUGUGUCACUUUAAAAAGAAACACCACUUGGGAAAGCUCAAUCCCUUCUGGUAGCUGGCAUAUUGGGACUGUGGACAGCAAUAACGAAAAUGGAGUGACAUAAGUCAAGGCUUCCCAAACGGAGCUGGGAGGCCAUUAAGAAGAUGGGGCUUAUACAAGCACACCACGUCUCUACACAGAUGAAAUGGGACUUUGAACUGGGCUUCACUGCUGUCAUCCUGACCUUCUUUGAAGAAAUAUGCCUACUCCCACAGAUAAGAACUUUCUGCCUUAAAGAUGGCCGUAGCAAGCAACCACAUAGAGCCGAGAAGUGACAGUUGUGACCAGCGCCCAUCACAAAUUUUGCAGAGCAACCUGUGUCCUUUUUGUGAAGGAGUGCGUGGAUGGAAAGAGACGUCUAGGAUGCAAGGUGCCUAAGGUCCUGAUAUUGUCACCAUAUCCCUGGAGAUCGCUCAACCCCGGAGCCCGUAAGACAGGUGAAGGGAAGUAAUCCAGCGCUGGCCCGUUCGUGGUAGUGGCUUUGGUUAAGAAGAAAUAAGUGGGAAGCAGGUGUCGCUGGAUCGGGGCCUUGGACAGGCAGUGCAUUGCCCAGAAGUGCCAC